GAAGGCGGGAGACUGGAAAGGAGCAAAGCUUCCUGCGAAACGGACACCGCGAGCUGCUAUGGCAAAGGAAAACACACAUGGAGGACAUCGGACUCAGGCCUAGACAUCAACCGGUCAUGCAACAAACAAAUCCACCCAACUGCUUGGAGCUCGAGAGUGGCUGUCCUACCCGGGAGAAAUCAGCGUGCUAAGAUGUUCCUGCAGUGGAUGGAUCUUCCCUGAUUUCCUCACCUCUCCCUCAGGGACCAUCUCCUGGGGCACCUGGUUCCUGUUUCUGAAUUGUACUCCACAUUUGACAGUCUCACCAGGAAUGGAUAUGGUUUACAAUUUAAGAACACAUCCUGGAAUGCUACAUUUUCUCAAAGCUUAAACGUGUGUUUUGCCAAAUCUUUAACACUAGAAGCUGUCGUGUGGUCCUUGGGUGGCCGACG